rnacentral:rRNA from 1 species
CACGUAGGGCGCAAGGCGUUGUCCGGAAUUAUUGGGCGUAAAGAGCUCGUAGGCGGACUGUCACGUCUGCUGUGAAAAGCUAGGGCUUAACCCUGGCCUUGCAGUGGAUACGGGCAGACUAGAGGUAGGUAGGGGAGAAUGGAAUUCCCGGUGUAGCGGUGAAAUGCGCAGAUAUCGGGAGGAACACCGGUGGCGAAGGCGGUCUCUGGACAGUCCUGACGCUGAGGCACGAAGGUCA